rnacentral:rRNA from 1 species
UACGGGGGGAGCAAGCGUUGUUCGGAUUUACUGGGCGUAAAGGGCGCGUAGGCGGCGUGACAAGUCACUUGUGAAAUCUCCGGGCUUAACUCGGAACGGUCAAGUGAUACUGUCGUGCUAGAGUACAGAAGGGGCAACUGGAAUUCUCGGUGUAGCGUAGUGAAAUGCGUAGAUAUCGAGAGGAACACCUGCGGCGAAGGCGGGUUGCUGGGCUGAUACUGACGCUGAGGCGCGAAAGCUAGGGGAGCGAACGGG